GACGAGCGCUGGCGGCGUGCUUAACACAUGCAAGUCGAACGAAAAUACCAAGCUUGCUUGGUUGAUUAGUGGCGAACGGGUGAGUAACACGUGAGUAACCUGCCCCUUACUUUCCUGGAUAACUGCUCGAAAGGGUAGCUAAUACGGGAUAUUCUGACUAGCCUGCAUGGGUUGGUUUGGAAAGGUUGUUUUUCUGGUAAGGGAUGGGCUCGCGGCCUAUCAGCUUGUUGGUGGGGUGAUGGCCUACCAAGGCUUUGACGGGUAGCCGGCCUGAGAGGGUGGACGGUCACACUGGGACUGAGAUACGGCCCAGACUCCUACGGGAGGCAGCAGUGGGGAAUAUUGCACAAUGGGCGCAAGCCUGAUGCAGCGACGCCGCGUGAGGGAUGAAGGCCUUCGGGUUGUAAACCUCUUUCGUCAGGGAACAAGGCACCGUCUUUUUGGUGGUGUUGAGGGUACCUGGAUAAGAAGCGCCGGCUAACUACGUGCCAGCAGCCGCGGUAAUACGUAGGGCGCAAGCGUUGUCCGGAAUUAUUGGGCGUAAAGAGCUCGUAGGCGGCUGGUCGCGUCUGUCGUGAAAACUCCCGGCUCAACCGGGGGCUUGCGGUGGGUACGGGCCGGCUAGAGUGCGGUAGGGGUAACUGGAACUCCUGGUGUAGCGGUGGAAUGCGCAGAUAUCAGGAAGAACACCGAUGGCGAAGGCAGGUUACUGGGCCGUUACUGACGCUGAGGAGCGAAAGCGUGGGGAGCGAACAGG
rnacentral:rRNA from 1 species